AUUGAACGCUGGCGGCAUGCCUUACACAUGCAAGUCGAACGGUAACAGGUCUUCGGAUGCUGACGAGUGGCGAACGGGUGAGUAAUACAUCGGAACGUGCCUAGUAGUGGGGGAUACUACUCGAAAGAGUGGCUAAUACCGCAUGAGAUCUACGGAUGAAAGCAGGGGAUCGCAAGACCUUGUGCUACUAGAGCGGCCGAUGGCAGAUUAGGUAGUUGGUGGGAUAAAAGCUUACCAAGCCGACGAUCUGUAGCUGGUCUGAGAGGACGAUCAGCCACACUGGGACUGAGACACGGCCCAGACUCCUACGGGAGGCAGCAGUGGGGAAUUUCGGACAAUGGGCGCAAGCCUGAUCCAGCAAUGCCGCGUGCAGGAUGAAGGCCUUCGGGUUGUAAACUGCUUUUGUACGGAACGAAAAGCCCCGGGUUAAUACCCUGGGGUCAUGACGGUACCGUAAGAAUAAGCACCGGCUAACUACGUGCCAGCCGCCGCGGUAA
rnacentral:rRNA from 1 species